ACAACGAACUGUGAGAAGUCAGCAGAAGUCGUAGUAGGCAAAGCUCUGAAAUGAGCGUUGCCGAAGGAC
rnacentral:ncRNA from 1 species